UACGGGGGGGGCAAGCGGUUGUUCGGAAUUACUGGGCGUAAAGGGCCAGUAGGCGGCCAACUAAGUCCGACGUGAAAUCCCAAGGCUUAACCUUGGAACUGCGUCGGAUACUGGAUGGCUUGAAUUCGGGAGAGGGAUGCAGAAUUCCAGGUGUAGCGGUGAAAUGCGUAGAGAUGUGGAGGAACACCAGUGGCGAAGGCGACUUUCUGGCCUAUAACUGACGCUGAGGCGCGAAAGCGUGGGGAGCAAACAGG
rnacentral:rRNA from 1 species